rnacentral:rRNA from 1 species
AUUGAACGCUGGCGGCAGGUCUAACACAUGCAAGUCGAACGGUAACAGGAAGCAGCUUGCUGCUUUGCUGACGAGUGGCGGACGGGUGAGUAAUGUCUGGGAAACUGCCCGAUGGAGGGGGAUAACUACUGGAAACGGUAGCUAAUACCGCAUAACGUCGCAAGACCAAAGAGGGGGACCUUAGGGCCUCUUGCCAUCGGAUGUGCCCAGAUGGGAUUAGCUAGUAGGUGGGGUAACGGCUCACCUAGGCGACGAUCCCUAGCUGGUCUGAGAGGAUGACCAGCCACACUGGAACUGAGACACGGUACAGACUCCUACGGGAGGCAGCAGUGGGGAAUAUUGCACAAUGGGCGCAAGCCUGAUGAAGCCAUGCCGCGUGUAUGAAGAAGGCAUUCGGGUUGUAAAGUACUUUCAGCGGGGAGGAAGGGAGUAAAGUUAAUACCUUUGCUCAUUGACGUUACCCGCAGAAGAAGCACCGGCUAACUCCGUG